rnacentral:rRNA from 1 species
UACGUAGGGUGCAAGCGUUGUUCGGAUUCAUUGGGCGUAAAGAGCUCGUAGGCGGCUUGUCGCGUCGGAUGUGAAAGCCCGGGGCUUAACUCCGGGUCUGCAUUCGAUACGGGCAGGCUAGAGUUCGGUAGGGGAGAUCGGAAUUCCUGGUGUAGCGGUGAAAUGCGCAGAUAUCAGGAGGAACACCGGUGGCGAAGGCGGAUCUCUGGGCCGAUACUGACGCUGAGGAGCGAAAGCGUGGGGAGCGAACAGG